rnacentral:tRNA from 1 species
GGGACUAUCGCCUAUUGGUUAAGGCUCACUGCUUAUAACGGUGCGAACUGGGUUCGAUUCCCAGUAGUCCUA